AUCCAAUUCCCUCUCAGGUUGACCACUUGACAUGUGAGAGCUUGAGUAGUUGUUCCCCCUCCGUCCAUGUUCGAGGACUUGCUCCACUGUUGAGUUGACCACCCUAUAUAUGAGAGCCUAAGGAGUUGUUUUCCCUCUGUCACCUUUUGAGGACCUGCUUUGUCUCCUCCAUCAUUCACUGGGCCACUUUUUGGUUCCUGAGCUUAUUUCAUGUGCUUUUCCUGACCUGCUAGAAGUUCUUCUAUGAUGCUUGAGUCAUCCAUCAUAUCUGAGAGCUUCGUCUUGACUUUGUGAGUUUAUUAUGCAACUUGUUUUGUCUCAGAUUGAAACAAAAGGUUUGAUUAUGAUUA